GGCUAUAUAGCCUAAAUCAAGGCAUUUGAAUUGCAAUCAGAUCAUGUGUAUAUUUCACUAUAGCC
rnacentral:tRNA from 1 species